GACGAACGCUGGCGGCGUGCUUAACACAUGCAAGUCGAACGGAAAGGCCCUGCAUUUGUGGGGUGCUCGAGUGGCGAACGGGUGAGUAACACGUGAGUAACCUGCCCUUGACUUUGGGAUAACUUCAGGAAACUGGGGCUAAUACCGGAUAGGAGCUCCUGCUGCAUGGUGGGGGUUGGAAAGUUUCGGCGGUUGGGGAUGGACUCGCGGCUUAUCAGCUUGUUGGUGGGGUAGUGGCUUACCAAGGCUUUGACGGGUAGCCGGCCUGAGAGGGUGACCGGCCACAUUGGGACUGAGAUACGGCCCAGACUCCUACGGGAGGCAGCAGUGGGGAAUAUUGCACAAUGGGCGGAAGCCUGAUGCAGCAACGCCGCGUGCGGGAUGACGGCCUUCGGGUUGUAAACCGCUUUCGCCUGUGACGAAGCGUGAGUGACGGUAAUGGGUAAAGAAGCACCGGCUAACUACGU
rnacentral:rRNA from 1 species